UCUCUUGUUUUUUGGUUUUAGGUGAGAGUCUACAAUCUUCUCCAGUAUGAGCAUGGACCAGAGGAUGUACUGAUCUUAGCUACUGAUGGACUCUGGGAUGUAUUAUUAAAUGAAGAAGUGGCAGAAGCUGUCACAAACUUUCUACCAAACUGUGACCCUGAUGAUCCCCACAGGUACACGUUAGCAGCUCAGGACCUGGUGAUGCGAGCCAGGGGAGUGCUGAAGGACAGGGGCUGGAGAAUAGCCAAUGACAGACUGGGCUCAGGAGAUGACAUUUCAGUCUAUGUCAUUCCUUUAAUACAUGGAAACAACUUGUCAUGAGAAUAGCUCUGACGAUGCUGGGAGGAUGGUCUUUUUAGGAGGAGCCUUUGAAAAGACAUGAUUUUCAGAUCUGACCAGGACAGUUCUGAUUGAUGUAAAUUAAUCUAAAUUCAUGCUGGAAGGGGAUGUUUCAGUCCAAAAGGUGGAGCUCUGCACAUAUUCUGUAUGUGGUUAAAGGUAUCUCUUAAGCUUACACCUUCUCUGUAUUAAUGGUUUUUGGUGCUUAAAAGGAAUGGAAGUUAAAUGCUGCUAGUAUAUUAUGGAUUGAUGGUUCCCUGUAUUGUCGCUCCAGGUGAGGAGCCCAUUGUAACCUGAAACAGAACUUAAUCUUUUUCAGUUUUACCAUAAGGCUUGGAACAGGCCAUUCUCAGUUGUGAAAACAGAUAUUGGGAUUGAAAGCCAGUUGGCUCUCAACAUCCCCAAGAUUACUGGUGUCAUUUCUUUGGGAUCAGUCAUUUAAAAAAGAAAGUUAAACCU